rnacentral:tRNA from 1 species
GCCGGAGUGGUGGAAUUGGCAGACACACAGGACUUAAAAUCCUGCGAGCCGAGAGGUUCGUACCGGUUCAAGCCCGGUCUCCGGUA